CGACGUUCGGAUAGGUCGAAUAGUCGCAAUCACAACAUUCAGAACCUACGCGAAUAUGGUUACUGUAUAAUUCAUCCCUUUUGACCCCUGUGUAUAGGACGACUCAGGGUUAAGCUGUCAACCCUGAUCAGAUAAUCCGAAUCGAGCUCAACUCAAAUAGUCCUGUGACUCCUCACUAGGACUACCCUAGCCAAGAUUUUGCUAAAUUGAAACAUGACUGUACACAGCUC
rnacentral:lncRNA from 1 species